CCUACGGGUGGCAGCAGUGAGGAAUAUUGGUCAAUGGCCGGAAGUCUGAACCAGCCAAGCCGCGUGAAGGACGAAGGUGCCAAGCAUUGUAAACUUCUUUUGUCAAGGGACAAAAUCAGGCUCGAGAGCCUGACCGAGGGUACUUGAAGAAAAAACAUCGGCUAACUCCGUGCCAGCAGCCGCGGUAAUACGGAGGAUGCGAGCAUUAUCCGGAUUUAUUGGGUUUAAAGGGUGCGUAGGCGGACUGUUAAGUCAGCGGUAAAAGCCCGGGGCUCAACCCCGGCGAGCCGUUGAAACUGGCUGUCUUGAGAUGUCGAGAGGUAUGCGGAAUGCGCAGUGUAGCGGUGAAAUGCUUAGAUAUUGCGCAGAACUCCGAUUGCGAAGGCAGCAUACCGGCGGCGAUCUGACGCUGAGGCACGAAAGCGUGGGUAUCGAACAGGAUUAGAUACCCGGGUAGUC
rnacentral:rRNA from 1 species